UCCUGUUCAUCAUCUCAUCGACAGUGUUGUACCUUUACUUUCUAAGGCUACACAGUGAGGGGUGGCUGUUGGAUGUAUUUCAACGCAUUCAUGGUGAAGAAGGUACAUUCUUCGUUCCAUUGGACUUAGAGAUUUCCAUUCAGGAACUGAGCUACAUUAUGAAAAGAGCUGAGCAGUGGAGAGGAAUCAAUGGUGAAAGACGGAUGGUACACAGAUUACAUGGCCACAAUCACAUUUACGCAGCAGUCUGGAAUGCACUGCGGGGAGAGAGCCACCAGAGCCCGGCACAGCACAGAAACACACUUGAUUAUUUUGGAAGAAGUC